UUUGCGGUUAUCGGUUUCAAA
rnacentral:piRNA from 1 species